rnacentral:rRNA from 1 species
GUGCCAGCCGCCGCGGUAAGACGAACCGUGCAAACGUUGUUCGGAUUCACUGGGCUUAAAGGGCGCGUAGGCGGGUGGUCAAGUCAGGGGUGAAAUCCUCCAGCUCAACUGGAGAACAGCUUUUGAUACUGGCCAUCUUGAGGGAGGUAGGGGCAUGUGGAACUUCCGGUGGAGCGGUGAAAUGCGUAGAUAUCGGAAGGAACGCCGGUGGCGAAAGCGACGUGCUGGACCUUUUCUGACGCUGAGGCGCGAAAGCCAGGGGAGCAAACGGGAUUAGAUACCCCCGUAGUCC